GCAUUCGUGGUUUAGUGGUGAGUUCUCAACCCAUCAUCCACGUCGACGCCAGUAGGGUUCUAACAGUGUCACGUUACCACAGGUAAAAUUAGCCGUUGCCAUAGAAAUUACCGCAUCCUCGGCUAGCCCCGGGUUCGAUUCCCGGCGAAUGCA